GGCCCGCAGCGAGUCCGCUGCUCGUCUCGCAGAACCAAUUAACGUCAAUUAGUGAGUGUUCUGCGAGUGCCUGAACAAGGACAAUGCGAUGCGCAGGCUCCGGGAACAUCCGCCGCCCCGAUCACUUUAAGGACGCAGAGGACCCAAGACCAGGGAGGAGCUCCUGUUCCUCCAGUGAACGCUCCACAUCUGUCUGAAGAGACACACGAGAUUGCUGAAGUAAGUGAUCUUUUCUUCUUUUUAAAAGUGAAAUUGUGGAUGCCAUUUAAUUGUCUACUUCGGUUCAUCCUGAAACACCACAAGUGGUAGCAUCAGUGUGACUAAAGAGGUAGAAAUGGGGAAGAGAAUAGGGUUAAGGAAAAUACAAACUUGCCAACCUGUCUUUGUUACUCAAAGCAUUUCUAA
rnacentral:lncRNA from 1 species